rnacentral:lncRNA from 1 species
CCUCUUCUAUCUCUUUCUCUCUCUGUCCCUCUCUCUCUACUUCUCUGCUCUGCUCUGCUCUGCUUUGCUUUGCUUUGCUUUCUCACUCCUCUCUCUCUCUCUUCCACAAUGCUCCAGUACUCUUCUAUCCCUGUUGUUUUCUUGUGAAGCAAACAAACAGAAGUAGUAUUCUUUGGCAUCAGUUUGGAGAGAGGAGGACUUGAAGGAGCAGGGAUUUUGAUCUUUUCUGUACUUGUUUUCUCCUGGGAGAGAAGAGAGAGAGAUCUGAAGUGGGUAUUGUGUUGCUUUGCAUGAGUAUUGGGGGUCUUGGGUGAGUGAUUUGGAGCACAGCUGGACCACAUUGUUGGGUAAUUGGGAGGGAAAACCAGAGAGAUCUGAUAUCAUCCCCUGUUUUGCUGUGGUUCUGGGAGAGAGAUGGCUGAGAUUUCUGCAAAGACGCUCAUUCCAGAGACGUUCCAGGGGACGAGGCUGGACAUUGCGGGGCAAAUUGGAUUGGUGUGGGAGCUGGUGAAGGCGCCAUUGAUAGUUCCUCUGCUGAGAGUGGCGGUGUAUAUAUGCUUGACCAUGUCACUGAUGCUGUUCGUGGAGAGGCUAUACAUGGGAAUUGUGAUCAUCCUGGUGAAGAUCUUCUGGAAAAAACCAGAUAAGCGUUACAAAUGGGAGCCCCUGCGUGAAGACUUGGAGUCCGGUAACUCGAAUUUCCCCCAUGUGGUCGUGCAAAUCCCAAUGUACAACGAAAAAGAGGUAUCAAUCUCCACUCUCACUCUGUCCUUUCUCACUUCUUCUGCCAUCGUUGAUUUUCUUAUGAUUCAGCAUUAUCGUUUCUUCUUUUCCUUUUUCUUUUUUUUUUUUUGUUUUUUUCUCGCAAUUUUAAUGUUGGGUUUCCGGGAAAACUCUAAAGUCGAUUGCUUUUUCUGUUCAUGGGUGUCUGGGUCAGGUUUACAAGCUCUCCAUUGGAGCUGCAUGCGGACUUUCUUGGCCGGCCGAUCGUCUCGUGAUCCAAGUCCUCGAUGAUUCAACAGACCCUGCUAUCAAGGUAGAUAUAUAACCCACCCAUUUAUCCAGGAAAUAAAAAGAAUUCAAAGCAAAAAUCUUUUUUUUUUUCUUUCCCCCUGAUCGGUGUCUUCUCAUUGCUUUUGCGAGAAAUCAAAAUCCUGUUCAAGAAAGGACCUUACAGUGUUAACAUUCUCAUAUUGAGUAUUAGUGUCAAUCCUUUAAUGAAAACGUGGACUGCUUUCUCGGGCAUUUGACUUCACGUUUGGCAUCUUUCAAUCUCUUAAUGACCUGCGAUUGUGUUGCUUCCAUCUUUCUGUUUUUCUGACACGCUAAUUACUUAACACAAAUUCCCAAAAAAACACCACCAUUUUCCCUCUCGAAAGGUUGAAUUUAUAUCUGUCUAGUGCUAAAUUGGUAAUUGGAUACUUCCCUGAUCAAUAAUUGUGUCAUUUACUCAACACUCUUUCACACAUUACCAAACUCCACCGCAAAACCAUUGAAUUCCCCAUCUGCGUCUUUGAAAAUCACGUAUUCAUCACAUGGGUUUUGUCUCAGAACCUGGUGGAGACGGAAUGCCAGAGAUGGGCAGCCAAAGGCAUCAACAUAAGGUACCAAAUCAGAGAGAACAGAGUGGGGUACAAAGCAGGAGCUCUGAGAGAAGGCCUG